AGAGAAUAGAUACCCCGGUAGUCCACGCCGUAAACGAUGAAUACUAGGUGUAGGGGUUGUCAUGACCUCUGUGCCGCCGCUAAACGCAUUAAGUAUUCCGCCUGGGGAGUACGGUCGCAAGAUUAAAACUCAAAGGAAUUGACGGGGGCCCGCACAAGCAGCGGAGCAUGUGGUUUAAUUCGAAGCAACGCGAAGAACCUUACCUAGACUUGACAUCUCCUGAAUUACUCUGUAAUGGAGGAAGCCACUUCGGUGGCAGGAAGACAGGUGGUGCAUGGUUGUCGUCAGCUCGUGUCAUGAGAUGUUGGGUUAAGUCCCGCAACGAGCGCAACCCUUAUUGUUAGUUGCUACCAUUUAGUUGAGCACUCUAGCGAGACUGCCCGGGUUAACCGGGAGGAAGGUGGGGAUGACGUCAAAUCAUCAUGCCCCUUAUGUCUAGGGCUACACACGUGCUACAAUGGUCGGUACAAUGAGAUGCAACCUCGCGAGAGUGAGCAAAA
rnacentral:rRNA from 1 species